AUUGAACGCUGGCGGCCGGCCUAACACAUGCAAGUCGAACGAUUGGCGGCCGGGUGAGUAAUGUCUGGGAAACUGCCUGAUGGAGGGGUAUAACUACUGGAAACGGUAGCUAAUACCGCAUACCAUCAGAUGUGCCCAGAUGGGAUUAGCUAGUGGGUGGGGUAACGGCUCACCAAGGCGACGAUCCCUAGCUGGUCUGAGAGUAUGACCGGCCAAACUAGAACUGAGACACGGUCCAGAAUCCUACGGGAGGCAGCAGUGGGGAAGAUUGCACAAUGGGAGCAAGCCUGAUGCAGCCAUGCCGGGUGUAUGAAGAAGGCAUUCAGGUUGUAAAGUACUUUCAGCGGGGAGGCGUUACCCGCAGAAGAAGCACCGGCUAAAUCCGUGCCAGCAGACGCGGUAAUUC
rnacentral:rRNA from 1 species